rnacentral:misc_RNA from 1 species
GAAAAGCGAUAUGUAAUGUGAAUUGCAGAAUUUAGUGAAUCAUCGAAUCUUUGAACGCACAUUGCGCCCUGUAGCAUUCUACAGGGCAUGCCUGUUCGAGUGUCAUUUCACCCUCAAGCAUAGCUUGGUCUUGAAUCUAGUCGUACGACUGAUUUUAAAAAUAGUAGUGGCUUCGUAGGUGCUAAACGUAGUAACUUUCGUUCCAGCGCCUCAUCUUAGUUGCGAAAUGGACUUUUGUAGUUGACCUCGAAUCAGGUAGGGAUACCCGCUGAACUUAA